AGCAACACGUAUCCAACCUGCCGUCUACUCUUGGCCAGCCUUCUGAAAGGAAGAUUAAUCCAGGAUGGGAUCAUGAGUUCACAUGUCCGCAUGAUUAAAGGUAUUUUCCGGUAGACGAUGGGGAUGCGUUCCAUUAGAUAGUAGGCGGGGUAACGGCCCACCUAGUCAACGAUGGAUAGGGGUUCUGAGAGGAAGGUCCCCCACAUUGGAACUGAGACACGGUCCAA
rnacentral:rRNA from 1 species